AAAAAAACAUGGGUCAUAUUUCAGGUCAAAAAAGGAUUGGCCUCUCUUUUUCCUCUCUUUCUCCUAAAUCGCGAUUCUCUUUCACAGCUUCAGCCGGACGAAAGAAGCUCUGGUAGCAAUUGUGACAUCAAUCUUGAGGAUACCGGCUGAAGAAUAGGCAAGACCAGAUCUGGUUUCGUGGUCUCUGUCCCUCUUUUGCCCAAGAAUUGCGACUCGCUUUCACAAGUCGCCGGAAAUAGUACAGCGAUAAACGGUCUCCGUCCGAAAACUCAGGAGUCUCCCUGAAUCUCGUGGUUUCUGUCUCCCAAGAACAUUCGCGAUUUAGGAGUCUCCCAAGGUAUUUUCUAUUACUAGAAUUUGAACCAAAUGAAUGAAAUCUAGGGUUUGGCAGUAAAUUUUGAUUUUUGGGUUCUGUCUAAGAAUUGCCAAAUUGUGUAGAUCUUUAUGUGAUGAUAUAUGGGUGGCCUUUCACGUGUUAAAUUGAAUUUGCAAUUUUUGUAGUGUAAUUAUGAUUAUGAAUAUUAUAUUAAUAUAGUAUAAUUUCGAGUUUUCACAGUAAAGCUUGUGAGUUUUCUAUGUAAAUCUGUGAACUAACAUAGUAAAAAGAUUUUAUAUUUUUAUAAAAUGGUAUUGGAUUAUUUGGCAGUAAAAUUUGAUUUUUGGGUUCUGUCUUUAUCCUUGAAGCUUAGGUUUCAAUUUAAUAGCAAACAUGUUACUUGUUGAUUCUUUCACUAGUCCUUCACAGUGAUGGUCUUUUCUGGCUGCUGGACUAAGAUCAUUCUAAGUGGUAUAACUGUUGACUUUUAACGGUGACAAUUUUAUUUUUGAUUGAAAUUAGUGAAUGCCUCGAAACUCCAAUAAUGGUUUCAGCAGAUAUAUGUCAAAUGGUAGAAAUGGUGACCCAGGUCAACACUUGCUUCUACUUUAGCUUCUGCUAACCCCAAAACUCAGUGAAUGGUACUCUGCGAUUAACACUUUCCUUUCUAAGUGGUAUAACUGUUGACUUCUAAUUUUUUUUUUGCUAGCUAAUUUGGGGGAGGGGCUGCUUAGAAAGGAGUCUACAGCCAAAGGUUGAUGGGUUUGCGAAGUGGUUUUUAAUUUGCAUGGACCCUCAUUUGCUGUCAUGGACAAAAACAUCAUCAUUAAUUAUGCCAAAACAAUUUAAAAACUAAAUGUCUCAUCCACUAUUUAUUUAUCAAAAUCUUUGAAUAGUCUCUAUUGUGAUUUGUGCACUUGGUGGGGCUGUAAAUUGGUUACAUAUGUUAAUCGGAAUUUUCCAUCUCCUCUGCUGUAAACUUGGGUAUUCUCUAACACCUACACCCAAAAACAUAUUUAAGUUUUCAUACUAAAAUUAUACUCAAUUUUGGAAUUUCAAUAACACUAACCUAAAGGUAAAAUGAUAUAGAAUACCAUAAUUUUUGGGUAGACAAUCCUAAAGCUAAAAUAACAUGUAACCAAUUUAUUCCGCUCAAUCAUGAUUUUUGUUCCACAAUUAGUGAAAGUAUUUACUUUGCAAAAUCCAUUAUUGCAUCAUAGUUUCACUGCAUAUUUCUUCGAUUUAAUAGCAAACAAUAUACCUGCUACAAUAUUGCAUCAUAGUCUCUAUUUGAUUGUUUUCCUUAUUGCAAUUUUGUCUCCAUCUUGUAGUUGACAUUGCUGCGAUUUUCGUGUUUCAGGAUGGGAGUCAAUGUGGCAGGGGCUGCUUUGACGUGUGGAUCUACGAAGUGAUGUAAUCUGCCAAAUUGCUGAAAUAAGCUAUUAUUGUUGUGUAUCAGAACCCUCUGUUUUGUAUUGUGUUAAUCGUGGUUGUUGCUUAUUGUUGUGAGUUUUUUUUACUUGUAAUACAUCACUGCUUGAUAGUGCUUUUGUGGGAUGAGAUAUUUUUAUAAUAUGUAAGGUUAUUGUUUGAGAGUGUUCUUUUUGAGGCUUGAUUCGAC
rnacentral:lncRNA from 1 species